UCGCUUGCAUAUAUUAGUUUGUUUUGUGUCUUUUUUCCUACUUGUUUGUAAAAAGUCUAAAUAUUAUUGAUUUGAUUGUUGUAGCUUUGGGUUUGGGCGUGUUUUUUCUUUUCGUUCCUUAAAUUAUGGGACUUUGUUUAUGAGAGGCAAAGUUACUUUGUUCACUUUUGUGAUUUUUGGAGUUGUUAUUUGAUUGAGGUAAUGUCGAACAUUUUGAUUGGUAAUCUUAGUUCCAAACCAUCAUCCAUAUGCACCUUUCAAUAAAGCCUGAAAAAGAAGGUGAUGAAAGUUGUCAUACAUUAAAUCACUUACAUAAACAUUCAAUGUACUCUACGGAUAAAGAAAUAUAUAAAAUUGAACAUAAUAAAAUAAAAAAUUGAAUGUUCAUUUGGAAAUUUCCCGAAAAGUUCUUCCUUUACAACACAAAAAAAAAAAUUGGCCUUUGGGCUAAAUAAAUAAACUUCUCUAGAGGAUUUUUUAUUUUUUGGUGAACUUUUCUCUCAAGUUCACGAGCAUUGUUUUGGCGACCUCCAUUUGGUUCCCGCAAGCACAAGUUUGGGAUUAGGAGGAUGUACUAAUCUAUCCAACUUGUGGUGGCACCUGAAGAAGGCCAACCAACUUGCACACUAUGUUGCUGCUCCAUAAACUCCAUGGUUUGAUCUACUUUUUUCACUCAGGUUACUUUUUUUUCUAAUUCAACUUGGGCUUCCAAAUAUCUCACCACAAAAUUGAUGUUUAACUACCCGUAUUAUUUCAGGGCAAUCCACCCAAACAUGUCAAGAGUUCAAUUCUGUGAAACUUAUUGUUUUUUACAUUCUACGAUUCAAAAUUUCGGAAAUUACGUCCUUCAAUCAUGUUUUUUCAUCCCAUAUGGCAAAUAGUGUUUUGAAAUAGGAUAUUGAAAGUGAAAAACACUGACAUAAAAAAAGUAAAUUUGUAAAUUUAUAAAAUCCUAAUAAUAUUGAAAGAACAUUCAAACUGUAUACAAACUGUAGAUAUGUUAAGAAAAGAAAAGUUGUUCCAAUUCGCAAUUGUUCCCUUCCCUCUAUUUUAAAACUAACCAAUUAUCAUCAUUCUGUCGUUCUUUUUCCAAACCCUCAAAUUACCAUUUUCUAUAUAAGAAAAUAAUAAAAAAUAACAAGUUUAUAAAAUAAGAAAAAUAAGAUUUACAACCAUUUAAAUGUUAAUUAGUUAAAAAUGAUUUUAAAAAGUAUUUGAUCUUAUAAUGCUCAAAAGUGUUGAUUGUUCUUGGUUAGUUGUAUUGAUUUAUAAGUUCAAAAUUAACUGUUGCUUUUAGUUUUUAAAGAUAAAAAGGUCAAUUGAUUAAAUAAAUAUUAAAUUAUUAGUAAUAUAUCCUUUAUAAAUAAAUAUAUCUGUUCAACAUGCAUUCCAAAAUAUAUAAAAUACUGGAAAAAACUAAGGUCUCUUAUCCAAUUAUAGAUUUUUCUAAUAAAAGAAUAGAUUUAUUGAUUUUUACAACAAUUUCCUAAACAAAAUACCCGUUGUUAAGAGUGAAAAUACUUAAAAAUUAAAGUCAAAUUCAGAGAGCAGUUGACACAAGUAAAUUUGGUCCCCAUUGAAACAGCACACAGGAAAAUGCAGACAAAAGCAUAGACUGUAGCAGAUAUUUGAUACAAUGACAUAUUAAAUAAUAUGGCAUUAAUAUUAACUAACCUUCUCUGCGUUUUCUUCAUUUAGCUCGACACCAGUUUCUUCUUCACCAGCAAUUGGUUCUACUGUCACUAUAUCAGGAUCUUCUAAACGUUGAAAGAAGUGUUGAGAGAUUGAAAAUAAGAUAGAAAUCUAAACGUUG
rnacentral:lncRNA from 1 species